UGGAUUUGACAUAUAUUUGAUCGCUCUAGAGAUAGAGUUUUUCUUCGGAACAGAUAUAC
rnacentral:rRNA from 1 species